CUGUACAGCCAUACUACUCUGAAUACACCCGAGAUCUUGUCUGAUCUCGGAAGCUAAGCAGGGUCGGGUCUGGUUAGUACUUGGAUGGGAGACCACCUGAGAAUACCACGUGCCAUAGGCU
rnacentral:rRNA from 1 species